CUGAGUUCUGUGAUGGUGGACACGUGGUGGACACAACCUCAUUCAAUCUUAUUUUCUGCUUCUAUUUGCUGUAAGUGCUUGAGGAAAUCUAAAAGUUUUCAAAGAUGAAACGCAUUCAAGACCAGGAAGGAUUUGAUGCCCCCGCGGAUCCCUACGACGAAAGGAAAAAGUAUAGACAUGCAGUUAUAGUCAAUUUGUGUAUUUUCGCAGCGUACGUUGGAGUUCUACGAGCUUUGCCAAUACUGAUUAAAAAUGUCGCAUAAAAGAUGAAGAGCCAAACACAACACACUGAAAGAACUGUGAACAUGCCCACCUCUUGUGAUAAUCUGGAUUAGGGUACUUCAUUAAUAUUAAGGUUUUAUACAAGUUAUAUCAUUUGUAUUACAUGAUUUUAUAGUUGGGUUAGGUGUCAUUCAGUAAACAUGACAUUCAAUCAGUUAAAAA